UGCAGUCGAACGAGGAUCGCGGCGUGAGCAAUCAUGUCGCGGUUCGAGAGGCGGACGGGUGAGUAACACGUGGGUAACCUGCCCUCGAGACCGGGAUACCCCCUCGAAAGGGGGGCUAAUACUGGAUACGCUCUCCAGGUCACAAGAUCGGGAGAGGAAAGGUGGCGCAAGCUGCCGCUCAAGGAGGGGCUCGCGGCCUAUCAGCUAGUUGGUGAGGUAACGGCUCACCAAGGCGAUGACGGGUAGCUGGUCUGAGAGGACGACCAGCCACACGGGGACUGAGACACGGCCCCGACUCCUACGGGAGGCAGCAGUGGGGAAUUUUCCGCAAUGGGCGAAAGCCUGACGGAGUGACGCCGCGUGGGGGACGAAGGCCUUCGGGUCGUAAACCCCUGUCAGAGGGAAAGAAGGGUGCCGGCGCGAUAACCGCCGGUAUCUGACGGUACCUUCAGAGGAAGCCCCGGCCAACUCUGUGCCAGCAGCCGCGGUAAGACAGAGGGGGCAAGCGUUGCUCGGAAUUACUGGGCGUAAAGGGCGUGUAGGCGGGAUGGCAAGUCGGUCGUGAAAGCCUUCGGCUCAACCGAAGAAGUGCGUACGAUACUGCCGUCCUUGAGGGUUGGAGAGGAGACUGGAAUUCCCGGUGUAGCGGUGAAAUGUGUAGAGAUCGGGAGGAACACCGGUGGCGAAGGCGGGUCUCUGGCCAAUUCCUGACGCUGAGGCGCGAAAGCGUGGGGAGCAAACGGGAUUAGAUACCCCGGUAGUCCACGCUGUAAACGAUGACGACUAGUGUGGGGGGGUCAGUCCCUUCCGUGCCGCAGCUAACGCAUUAAGUCGUCCGCCUGGGGAGUACGGCCGCAA
rnacentral:rRNA from 1 species